rnacentral:lncRNA from 1 species
AUGGCAACAGAGGCAGUUGUCUCCGUGGGAACUUGCACUGAGGAGGGAGAGGAGGUGUCUGAGCUGAGAGAACGCCUCAGCCAAUUGGAGAAGGAGAGGGCGGGGCUUCAAGAGACGCUGACAAGUAAAGAUGAUGAACUAAAACAGUUGAGGACAGAAAGAGAAGAACUGGAGAAAGAGACAGAACGAUGGAAAGCCGAACAGACAAAAGAACGGGACAAAGAGAGACAGGAGCACAGACAGGAGUUGGACAAGUUGAGGGCAAGGAUCCAAACUCUGGAAGACAGAGGUAAACCUGCACAAGCCGAGCCCUCCUCUGUCUCUGCCUCAUCGCCAGAGGACAAUGAGGAUGCUCAGGAUGGAGCAGGUGUGGGAGAGGAGAGGGAAACUGGCAGUAAAGAAGAGAAAGAGGGGGCGGGAGAUGAAGAAUUGGGUACAGAUGCAGGGAUGCAAGAAAGAGAGAAGGCAGCAUUGGUCAUCCAGACACACUGGAGGGAGCACAGAAAUAGGGACAUUGUGAUGUUGCAGUCGGCAUUGAGAGGCCACCUCCUCCGUGAGUCACAGCUCAAGGACCUGCUGAACGACACACGGAGAAAGGCUGUAGAAGCAACAGACCGCGGCGAUGUUACACCCUCUGCUGUAGAAGGGGAGCUGGUUGCCCUGACGAUGAUACAGUCGGCAUUCAGGGGACACCUGACUCGCUGUAGCCUCGUCAUAGAGAGCUCCGGGGUCCCUGUGCCUUCUCUGAUGGGAAACAGUUUGCCCGCACUGGUACCGAGAAGAACUCGCUUAACACACACGUCCAGCAGAACAGGUGCUGCAUCCCUCCAUAAAGACGCUGGAAAGCCAGCAGAGGAGGAAGAACCCUGGCUCGAUUCUAAAACAGACCGAGCCGAGCUUUGUUGCACAGCCGAGUCCACCGGAGCCGCUGCAGUUGAUUCUGAUGACUCUGAUGACAUCAUCGUGUCUCCGUCACGUCCUCUGCGAAGCAGAGAAGUCUUAAUCUUAUAA